CUUCUCCACUUUUCUCUUUCGGGUCUUGAUUUGCGUUAGAUUCUAGGGAGAUUAGAGGAAGAUUGAUUCUUUUUUUGAUCAUGGAUUUGGGGAAAGGGAAGGAGAUACGCUAUUUUGAUCUCAAUUUACCUGUCCAGGAUUCUUUAACUGGAUUAGGGUUUCAAGAUUCUGUUCCUUUCGGGUUCCCGCAUAAUAAUCUAACGGAAUUCAACCGAUUUGUUGAUGAUAUUGGUACGGGUAGCAGUUUUGGUGGUGAUUUGAGCAGAGGGGAGACUGACCCAGAUGUUCAAAUGACUAGUUAUGCUGACCCAGAUGUUCAAAUGACUAGUUAUCCGAGUACGC
rnacentral:misc_RNA from 1 species